UGACAACAAAGUCAAAGCUCCUACUUCCAAAGCCUCCAAGAAAAAAAGAGUUGGUCUCAGGCCAUGGAAGAGCUCAACAAGGACUUUGAAAAGAGAUAGAAGGAAAAUUGGGAACAGAGAAAGAUCUUUGAUGGACUACAGGGUUUCCAUUGGAGAGGGUCUCAUUAUGCACAGCUACACUGGGAAGGGGCUCAAACUUCGAAUGCACCCUGCUGCACUUUGCUAACAAGGAAAAGGUUUCUCAAACAGCCCCUCGCUGGAAGAACUGUCAAAGAGAAUCUUUCUUCUUCAUUCUGGCUGAACUCUUGGGAAUCUUAGCUCAGUCCAGAUGGUGAACCUCAGCUGCUCUAUGAAACAGAUAAAAAAAACAUGUUCAGAAGUAUAUGAAAUGAUUUCCCCAAGAAGUUGUUUUGCAUAAUUGAUAGAACUUUGAACUUAUGGACAAGAAAAACUGCUGUCCCUGAUACUUAUUAGUUUUACACAUCUGGUUCCUUAAGGGAGCAUAAGUUAGACAAGGUAUUAUUAUUCGAUCAAUAGCGAUGAAGGAGCCUGAGGUAGUCACUAUAUUUCACAUGGAAAAAUGAACUCAUGGCUAUCCAAAGGAUUAGAGCAGAAACAAAGAAGAAAUCUUGAACCAAUUUCAAGAAAGUUUAUCCUGAUAUUUGAAUCUCCUGCAAGACCUGGGUUGCAGGUGAGUGAACUCAGGACAAGGUCUAUAAUGACAUUUUUAGCUGAAUUUCCAAAUCUUGGUGAUAUGAUUGUCCUCGAAUGACAAGGCACAAUUUGCAAAUGUCCUGUGGUGGGAAUGUGCUGUGUGGCUUCAUCCUGGCAAUUUGAUUCAGCCAAUUAAACAGCCCCUGAUGAGAAACCCUAGGACAGGAAGCCCUGCCAGAACCAUGCCCACCAAUUCUAUAGUUUGCAAUAUUUUCCCCCAAAGGCUCUGUGCAAUUGCUUUUAUAUUGAUCAUUUGAGGCAUGGCCACAGGAAACUGGUUUGAAAACUGAAAUGUCAGAUCAUUUUCCUGAAAACAUACCAGCUUUUUCCUGAUUAAAACACUGUAAGAAAGUAUUUCUUGUAUUAGUACAAAUCCCCCGAGGUAUCUCUUAUUCUAAAUAAUAGGCCUUUUUUAACUACUUGCCUAAAGAUAUCACACUGGUAAUCGGUGGUAAGGAGUGAAUGUACUAGCAUAGCAAGCUAUCAGCCCACCAUCCCCAAACAUGGUCAGCCUAAUAAAUAGGGAUUUUGGUAAUUCCUUCCAUGACUCUCUUGAAUUCUUCUUGGUCUAGUUUAAUCUCUCUGUCUCUUGAUUGGUUAAUUAAGAAACUGAAGAUAAA
rnacentral:lncRNA from 1 species